rnacentral:rRNA from 1 species
GACGAACGCUGGCGGCGUGCCUAAUACAUGCAAGUCGAACGAGUGGCGAACGGGUGAGUAAUGUCUGGGAAACUGCCUGAUGGAGGGGGAUAACUCCUGGAAACGGUAGCUAAUACCGCAUACCAUCAGAUGUUCCCAGAUGGGAUUAGCUUGUUGGUGGGGUAACGGCUCACCAGGGCGACGAUCCCUAGCUGGUCUGAGAGGAUGACCAGCCAGACUGGAACUGAGACACGGUCCAGACGCCUACGGGAGGCAGCAGUGGGGAAUAGGGCACAAUGGGCGCAAGCCUGAUGCAGCCAUGCCGCGUGUAUGAAGAAGGCCUUCGGGUUGUAAAGUACUUUCAGCGGGGAGGCGUUACCAACAGAAUAAGCACCGGCUAACUUCGUGCCAGCAGCCGCGGUAAUUC